rnacentral:rRNA from 1 species
CCUACGGGAGGCAGCAGUGAGGAAUAUUGGUCAAUGGACGAGAGUCUGAACCAGCCAAGUAGCGUGAAGGAUGACUGCCCUAUGGGUUGUAAACUUCUUUUAUAAAGGAAUAAAACGAGGCACGUGUGCCUUUUUGCAUGUACUUUAUGAAUAAGGAUCGGCUAACUCCGUGCCAGCAGCCGCGGUAAUACGGAGGAUCCGAGCGUUAUCCGGAUUUAUUGGGGUUAAAGGGAGCGUAGAUGGGUUGUUGAGGCAGUUGUGAAAGUUUGCGGCGCAACCGUAAAAUUGCAAUUGAUACUGGCAGCCUUGAGUACAGUUGAGGUAGGCGGAAUUCGUGGUGUAGCGGUGAAAUGCUUAGAUAUCACGAAGAACCCCGAGUGCGAAGGCAGCUUACUAGACUGUGACUGACAUUGAUGCUCGAAAGUGUGGGUAUCAAACAGGAUUAGAUACCCUGGUAGUC